UUGCCUAGUAACGGCGAGUGAAGCGGCAACAGCUCAAAUUUGAAAUCUGGCCCCUUUGGGGUCCGAGUUGUAAUUUGCAGAGGGUGCUUUGGCGUUGGCAGCGGUCUAAGUUCCUUGGAACAGGACAUCGCAGAGGGUGAGAAUCCCGUAUGUGGUCGCAUGCCUCCGCCGUGUAAAGCCCCUUCGACGAGUCGAGUUGUUUGGGAAUGCAGCUCUAAAUGGGAGGUAAAUUUCUUCUAAAGCUAAAUACCGGCCAGAGACCGAUAGCGCACAAGUAGAGUGAUCGAAAGAUGAAAAGCACUUUGGAAAGAGAGUCAAACAGCACGUGAAAUUGUUGAAAGGGAAGCGCUUGCAGCCAGACUUGCCUGUAGUUGCUCACCCGGGCUCCUGCCCGGGGCACUCUUCUGCAGGCAGGCCAGCAUCAGUUUGGGCGGUCGGAUAAAGGGCUCUGACACGUACUUCCCUUCGGGGUUGACAUACAGGGGAGCCGCAAUGCGAUCAGCCCGGACUGAGGUCCGCGCAUCUGCUAGGAUGCUGGCGUAAUGGCUGUAAGCGGCCCGUCUUGAAACACGGACCAAGGAGUCUAACAUCUAUGCGAGUGUUUGGGUGUCAAGCCCGAGCGCGUAAUGAAAGUGAACGGAGGUGGGAACCCCUUUCGGGGUGCACCAUCGACCGAUCCUGAUGUCUUCGGAUGGAUUUGAGUAAGAGCAUAGCUGUUGGGACCCGAAAGAUGGUGAACUAUGCUUUGAAUAGGGUGAAGCCAGAGGAAACUCUGGUGGAGGCUCGCAGCGGUUCUGACGUGCAAAUCGAUCGUCAAAUUUGGGCAUAGGGGCGAAAGACUAAUCGAACUAUCUAGUAGUCUGGGUUACAGAACGAAUUU
rnacentral:rRNA from 1 species